rnacentral:lncRNA from 1 species
UCUGUCUAAAGAAAGAAAAGGAAAAGGAAAGAAAGAUGAAACCGUGUAACUGACUUUUUAAAUGGUCUAACGGAAAAAUUCAAACAUUAAUUUGGGGAAUUUUGUUGUUUACAAUGUUUAUCAUCUUUCUUUGGCUUGCCCCCAAAAGUACAGUUUAGCAUUUGCAGACUAAAAAUAGCAAGUCAAGGAUUUUUUUUUUUUUGAGAUAAAGCGAAAAAGUGGUUGAAGAAAAUAAAUGCAUAAUUUCUCAGUGAAUAAAGUUGUAGCUGUCAGACAUUAAAUAGGCAAAGUUACAUGCUGAUAUUUAGAAAACAGCUCAAAUAUGAAAAACCAUGUUUCAUUAAUCUGUUUAAGUCAGGCCAUUUUUAUAGUUUUAUGUAGGGUGGUUUAUUUUUCUUAGGGACAGUUUACAAUAGUAAGAGCUGUCUCUCAUAUUAAGUGAGUUACUUAUGUACAAAUUGAAACUGUAAAUUGUAAACACUGGAACGCACCAUUGUGACAUAAACAUCGUAGUAAUAUAUUAAAAUGAAUGUAAAUGGAAGUUAAAAUUACAUUACUGUGAAACUUACCUUCCAGCUGUUAAGUGUCAGAGAUUUGUGUUAGUGGGUAAUUCUUAAAGAGCUUUGAAAACACUGCAUAAUCCGUGUAACCCAGAAUUAUUAUUUCUUUGUAACUUAUUAUUCAGCUUGGCGAGCGCUUUUGAUUUGGCAGAUUGAUAACAUGGUAUAUUUACUUAGUUGGAAACAAUUAUUUCUACAUACUUUUAAAAAAAUAUCUGCUAGAUGAAACAUACAAUAAAACUACCUGUACUAAAAUUUGGGAGAACUUUAGGUCCUUUAAAAAGUAUUAAUCAUUAUUAGCAACAUCUAUGAUAAAAGUGUUUAUUCUGGUUUACUUAGAAAUGAUAAACAUUUAAAGUGUUAACAUCUUAUGAAUGCAGUGAAUUAAUAGAAUAAACAUUUUGCAAAAAAUCACUUGAUAAGGAUUAGAAACUUUAUUUUUGCACUUAAAAUGAAAAAUAACUUUGUUUUCUCUAAAUGUGUCACAGAUGUAGUUUCCGAUUUCUUGCUACUUUGUGUGACUUUCUGAUAAUCCAUUACUACAGGUUGGUUUUUUUGAACAGUUCUUCCCUUGAAACCAGGGCCGUAGACAGACCCCAUGAGUGUUACAACACUGAGCUAUACCUCCAACUUCUAAAGGUCUGACUGAAAUCCAAGAAAAAUUUCCUCUUAAAGCAAGUAUAUUCUUGGUUUUUUUUUUCUCCAAAUACUGAGUGUAGAGUUUUUUUAAAGCAUAGGAUUUUUAUUUCAAUUUUCCUCAGUAUUUCUAAACAGCUCCCAUUUGAUGGGGGUGUAUGUGGGGAGGGGUAAUGAAUGUGAAUGUGUAAUAUAUAUUUGCAGUGUGUAUUUGGCCGUUAUUUUAUUGCAGCGUGUGUAAAUGAUGCCUGUGAGUUAUGUGAAACCGGCUUUUCCCCAUCAUCAUUACUCAAGUCAAUUGGGUGGGUGUUCAUUGUACUUCAACUAUUUAUUGGUUCUGUAGAUGGGGGAAUUUUAAACGUCAGAGUGUGUUCUUCACCUUAUGGCUUGCUUCAUUGAAGGCCAAGAGUAGAUAACGUGAUGCUUAUUGUGUCCUACAGUAGUGCAUCGUGGUUCCCACUGCAUGAAGAGAGCAGAACUCACACAAGUUCAUCAUGUUGUGCUUCAUAGAGAAGGUGCUUAGAGGGGCUGGCAUGGCAAAACCUUCUCAUCUCUGUCUUGAUGAUAUCUAGUCUUUAAUCUGAAUACUCACUCUCAGUUUUGCCAAAGACUCAGUGGCGUUUAAAAGCGUUCUAUCUACGUUCUUACCCACCUAUGUUUUGGAGACAGAUGAAACCUUCCAGGGAUAGGGGUUUGUUGUCUUACCUGCAUAUCUUUACAUAUAAUCAAAUGAUAUGCAGAAUUUUAAUUUAUUUUUAGUUCCUAAAGUUAAGGUAGCUUCAAUAUUAUUUCACAUUCCUUUUUCUCUUUAAAUUGCCAGAUUUGCUUUUCAAAGACUUAGGGGCAGAAUUAAGUUAGUAUCUUUCACUUAGAGUAAAGAGAACAAGACAAUAUUAUUUAAGAGUUAGGAGCACUUUGUCUAGUUCUGUUAGUUAUGUAUGGCCUUAAUAAUCAGUCUCUUGGCUUAAGUGUUCACUGGUUUCACUUUGACACAGUUGAACAGCACUGGGGUUCAGUUCCUGAUGCUUGUGUUGGCAAUAUAUAUUAACCAUAUUUUAAGAGUAUCAUUCUGGCUUUUUAUGGAAAAGAUGAAAAUCAAACAGUAUAUUCCUUUUGAGGGUUUUUUUAAUACGUAAAUAUAUAUAAAUAUAAUAUAUGAUGGAUUUUUUCUAAUUUUUUAUAUUUCCUUACAAUUUGGUGACUAUUACUCUAACUUUAGACUCUUUGGCAUAUACUAAGUAGCUAGUCUGGGCUUUAAAAAUAUGCAUGGACAUUUCAGUUUGUUUUAGCUGAAUGAGGACAUUUUGAAUUCUCUUAAAAGUCACCUGAUUAUUAAAUAACAAUGUUUAUUUUUAAAACUAACAAUGUGUUGUGUCUUAUUACACAUUACACAGUCCUAAAGGUGCGGCUCUGAUGUCUGUGAGCUGUGGGCCAAGUAUUCUGUUUUCAGUUCUAUAGCACAGAACAGUGAUUAGAAAUGUAAAGAGAUACCCACAUCAACUUUCUGUUUUUGUUUUUCCAACUGAUUCAGGUGUCCAUUGAAUGACGUAUCUCUUAAAUGUUGGGGGAGUGGUGUGUCAGAACCAGUUACCUGGCUUCUGUUUUGUCCAUAGCUUAGAUUUGUUCCGUUGUCAAAACUGUCCCCCCCCCCAAAUUGUGUGACACAUAUUCAUGCAUAAACUGUUAAAACGAGCAUCUUUGUAUUUGUAUUGUUUUCAACAUUGCCAAGGUGCUAUGGGAAAUUAAAAUU